CUGGCAGAGAGACCAGUAAAGACACUGGCAGAGAGACCAGUAAAGACACUGGCAGAGAGACCAGUAAAGACACUGGCAGAGAGACCAGUAAAGACACUGGCAGAGAGACCAGUAAAGACACUGGCAGAGAGACAAUAACAAAAGCUAGUCAAGAGACCCGAAAGGACAGCAGGAGCAGAGGGAAAGAUAAGGAGGCGGAAAAGAUAAUCAAGGAGAUGGAGACUGGCAAAAAAGAGACCAGUACAGAGACUCGCAAAAAGUUAGGGAGUAAGACUAGAAACAUGACAGUCCAUGAGACCAGCAAAGACACUGGGAAAAUGACCAGUACAGAGACUGUUAAGGAGACUGAGAGAGAGACUAGCACAGACAUGGAGAGAGAGACCUGUAGAGCUGUUAGUAUAGUGGCCAGUAGAAUCAGCAAUAGAGAAACCAAAAAAAAGCCAGAGACUUGUAAAACACCUGAAAAGAAGACCAAUACUCAGACUGUGAAAGAAAAAACUAAAGUGACUCCUCCCCCCAUCUCCCCUCCAACCACUAAUCUGUGGGAUUUCCUGAAGAGGCAGAACCGAGGAGCUGUGAUUGGUCUGAGUGCACUCAUCGAGUGCCACAGUCACGGCCAGCCCCCCCUCUACCUCUGCCAGGUGUGUGGGUGUAAAGUCUUCCAGAACGCCAUCAUCGUCCAUGUAACCACAGACUGCCACCGGCUUUCCUACCUGAGGUCGCUGAAGACAGUGGUUGUCCCCAAAGGGAACCAGCUCCAUAAGAAGUUGAGGAGAGCUGCCUUGAAGCUGGAGAGGACCAUGGGAUAUGGAGAGGCUGAGGUAACGGAGUUGGAUGCACACACUUACAAUUUUGUUGCAGAAAGAUCCUUUGCCAUUGGCCUGAACAUUGUAAUGAAGGUCAUAAAUGGUGACCCUUCACCUGACCCCCUACUGUUGGUCAGCCCUAAACCCCCUGACCCCUCACCCCAGGUCAGCCCUGACCCCUCACUCCAGGUGUCAGAGGUCAGCAACCCCACCAUGACCUCUACAGCUCUGUGGUCCUACCUGAAUGCCUCCACCAGGACACAGCCUGUCAUCGGUGUCAGUAUGUUGACAGAGUUGCCAGACAGACAUGGUGACUACUUCCUCUGCCGCUGCUGUUCUCACAGGAUGUUUACAUCAUCCCUCAUUGGACACCUAAUCUCUGCUCGACACCGCUACCACUACAUAAAACUAGUGUACCCUGAGCUGGCUGCUGAUUGGCCAGUGAGCCCAGAGCUGACGGUGAAGGCGGGGCCUCUUCAUGAGGAGCUGAGAGUGAGAGCUGCAGAACUGGAGGCACAGGAGGGACUAGGACAGCUCACGAGUUUAUAUGGCGGUUCGCAACCAACUUUAAGGUGCAUUACCACCACCAACUGGACUGGAGUGUGGACCUCAGUUCAUCGUUCAAUCACCCACGUGGUAAAGAGAGAACCUGCUGCUGGAGACACAACCACUACCAAUACUGAAGGGACUGCCCAGCAGAGCCAGAACGGCUCACCUCCUCUCUCUGUGAAAGAGGAACCGGUUGACUCCACAGUACCAUCCCAGCCCCCUAGAGGAGAAAAGAGGAACAAGAGGAGGAGCAACCCUGUGGUUGGUGUGAACUUCCUGGUCCAGGUGUCCCACAGGAGAAGGAAACAGUACUACUGUCAGCUAUGUUCUGUCAGGAUGAAACACGCUAUUGCUGAUCACAUGACCAGCCUCAGCCACCGACACAACUAUGUGAGGUUGAAGUACCCUGGUUGGACCUCCAGCCCGGUAGAGAUGGAGAAGAAGCUGUUCAAAAUGGCCGUUCACCUGGAGAAGGUCGACAGAGACGCAGGAAUGGGCAUGCAGAAGGUAGAAGUGGAAGCUGAUGAGUACAAAGAGCUGUUGUCCUUUCCUGUGGAGGAAGGUGUCAGUAAACUGCAAGCCAUCAUCAGACGGCAACAAGAGCCAUGCGAUCUGAGACACACAGCUCCCUCGACCAAUCACAACCCAGAGGAUCUGAGACAGACAGCUCCCUUGUCCAAUCCCGAUGCAGCCCAAUGUCCAGCUCAAGGUAUGUGUGGGGCAGAGUCACGUGAGACCGAGGGAGUGUGUCCUCUCCCUGUCAGUCUAUCAGAGGAGGAGAAUGACCAGACGCUCCUGGUUCAGAUCUCAAUGUUUUUGGGAGAAGACCAGGAACCCCUACAAGUACCUUCCCGUUCCUCCAGGAUCAGCCACCCCUUAUUUCCAUCCCUCUCCCACUCUCUACACCUCACCCUAUCCCCCUCUCUUCCUCAAUCCCCCUCCCUCUCUCCCUCAAACCCCUUUUCUACCUCUCUUUCCACAGUUGUCCUAUCUACCUCACCCUCCCUCUCUUCCUCCAUACCAUCCCACACCCCCUCGUUGUCCACAGAGAAGACAACACACCCCUCCCCUGUCUCUGUCCCUGUUCCUGCACCUCUCUCAGCUCUGAGGAGCUCAACACAUUUGAAGGACUGGGAGACUUCUCUGAGUCCAGAGUGGUGGGAGAGGAAGAGCCCAGAAUGCAGAGAGACACAGACGCUUCUAGAAAUACCAGACAGACACACUCUUCUGGAAUACUCGGGCAGAGACAGACAGAUUGAAUACUCAGCGACAGACCGACAGACUGCAUACACUGAGAGAAACCGACAGACUCAUCUAGAAUACUCUGAGAGAGACAGACGGGCAGACUACUCAGAGAGAGACAGACGGGCAGACUACUCAGAGAGAGACAGACGGGCGGACUACUCGGAGAGAGACAGACGGGCGGACUGCUCGGAGAGAGGCAGACGGGCGGACUACUCCGAGGGAGGCAGACGGGCGGACUACUCCGAGGGAGGCAGACGGGCGGACUACUCCGAGGAGGCAGGCGGGCGGACUACUCCGAGGGAGGCAGGCGGGCGGACUACUCCGAGGAGGCAGGCGGGCGGACUACUCCGAGGGAGGCAGGCGGGCGGACUACUCCGAGGAGGCAGGCGGCCGGACUACUCCGAGGGAGGCAGGCGACCGGACUUCUCCGAGGGAGGCAGACGGGCGGACUUCUCCGAGGGAGGCAGACGGGCGGACUUCUCCGAGGGAGGCAGACGGGCGGACUACUCCGAGGGAGGCAGACGGGCGGACUACUCCGAGGGAGGCAGACGGGCGGACUACUCCGAGGGAGGCAGACAGGCGGACUACUCCGAGGGAGGCAGACAGGCGGACUACUCCGAGGGAGGCAGACAGGCGGACUACUCCGAGGGAGGCAGACAGGCGGACUACUCCGAGGGAGGCAGACAGGCGGACUACUCCGAGGGAGGCAGACAGGCGGACUACUCCGAGGGAGGCAGACAGGCGGACUACUCCGAGGGAGGCAGACAGGCGGACUACUCCGAGGAGGCAGACAGGCGGACUACUCC
ensembl:lncRNA